rnacentral:misc_RNA from 1 species
GGAGGGAUCAUUACCGAGUUAUACAACUCAUCAACCCUGUGAACAUACCUAAAACGUUGCUUCGGCGGGAACAGACGGCCCCGUAACACGGGCCGCCCCCGCCAGAGGACCCCCUAACUCUGUUUCUAUUAUGUUUCUUCUGAGUAAAACAAGCAAAUAAAUUAAAACUUUCAACAACGGAUCUCUUGGCUCUGGCAUCGAUGAAGAACGCAGCGAAAUGCGAUAAGUAAUGUGAAUUGCAGAAUUCAGUGAAUCAUCGAAUCUUUGAACGCACAUUGCGCCCGCCAGUAUUCUGGCGGGCAUGCCUGUUCGAGCGUCAUUACAACCCUCAGGCCCCCGGGCCUGGCGUUGGGGAUCGGCGAGGCGCCCCCUGCGGGCACACGCCGUCCCCCAAAUACAGUGGCGGUCCCGCCGCAGCUUCCAUUGCGUAGUAGCUAACACCUCGCAACUGGAGAGCGGCGCGGCCACGCCGUAAAACACCCAACUUCUGAAUGUUGACCUCGAAUCAGGUAGGAAUACC